rnacentral:rRNA from 1 species
UCGCCUGUUUAUCAAAAACAUAGUUUAGUGAAAUUAUACUAAAUUAAUUCUGCCCAGUGUCAAAAAUUAGAUAAAUGGCCGCAGUACCCUGACUGUGCUAAGGUAGCAUAAUCAAUUGGCUUUUAAUUGAAGUCUGGAAUGAAAGGAUAAAUGGGAUCUUUCUGUCUUUAAGAUAUUAAUAUAAAUUUAUUUAAAAGGUGAAAAUACCUUUUUUUAAAAAAAAGACGAGAAGACCCUAAGAAUUUUUAAAAUUAAAAUUUUUCUUUUAAUUUUUUUGUUGGGGCGACAAUUUAGUAAAAAGUUAACCUAAAUUAUUUAAUAAGGUGAAAUUUUUAAGUAAAAUAAAAUUACCUUAGGGAUAACAGCAUAAUUUUAAAAUAGUUUGUGACCUCGAUGUUGGACUAGGAACUUUAUGGCUAGCAGUCAAAUAAGAUUUAUUCUGUUCGAAUAAUAUUAUCCUACGUGAUCUGAGUUCAGACCGGA